rnacentral:lncRNA from 1 species
AGCCCAGGCCACAGACCCAGAUGCCAUUCAUCUAGAUAACCCCAUAUAAUCAAUAUUCACUAGUCCUGCUCUUGCCCAACAAGACAAGCUCAGGAAUGCUCUCAUUGAUGCUUUUGGAAUAUGUGACCUAGGAGCUGUUGGUUUUGUUUGCAUUUUCCUCUUUAUUUGCUCUCUGUUACUACAUUAAUGUAGUUCUCCCUACAUGUACCAUAGCCUGGAUCCGUCCCAUGGUCCUGUUAGUGAUGUCACCAGCAGGGUUAUGACCACUUGUGACAGGACAUGCUAAAACAACACUUCAGAAGAUAAGGAAGCCACUGGGGGGACUGACAUCCUGGAGGCAGAAAUCCCACUUCUGUGUGAAAUGUCCCAUGCUCAACAGAGAGACAAAGGAUCAGGGGCUUCAUGUUGACUUCGUCUCUUUCAUUCUGUAUUCAUGAAGGAAACAACUGAAAACGAAUUCCAGAUCCUGAAUGAGGCAGACUGUAAACAAGGAAACCUGAUACCUCAAGGACAGAAGGAGAGAACAAGAUGUCCAUAGACACACUGGAGUGUUUUCAAGCAUUGCAAUGUGUUCUGUGGCUU